rnacentral:rRNA from 1 species
UACGUAGGGACAAGCGUUGUCCGGAUUUAUUGGGCGUAAAGAGCGUGUAGGCGGCCUGACAGGUCUGCUGUGAAAACUCGAGGCUCAACCUCGAGAUGUCGGCGGAAACCGUCUGGCUAGAGUCCGGAAGAGGAGAGUGGAAUUCCUGGUGUAGCGGUGAAAUGCGCAGAUAUCAGGAAGAACACCUAUGGCGAAGGCAGCUCUCUGGGACGGUACUGACGCUGAGACGCGAAAGCGUGGGGAGCGAACAGG